rnacentral:rRNA from 1 species
GCUUAGAGAGGGGUCAAUGUCCUAUCAGCUAGUUGGUAAGGUAAUGGCUUACCAAGGCUAAGACGGGUAGCCGGCCUGAGAGGGUGGUCGGCCACACUGGGACUGAGACACUGCCCAGACUCCUACGGGAGGCUGCAGUCGAGAAUCUUUCGCAAUGCCCGAAGGGGUGACGAAGCGACGCCGCGUGUGGGAAGAAGGCCUUCGGGUUGUAAACCACUGUCGGGAGUUAAGAAAUGUAAGGGUGUUAAUAGCAUCCUUACUUGACUAAGGCUCCGGAGGAAGCCACGGCUAACUCUGUGCCAGCAGCCGCGGUAAUACAGAGGCGGCAAGCGUUGUUCGGAAUUAUUGGGCGUAAAGAGCACGUAGGCGGCUUUGUAAGUCAGUUGUGAAAGCCUUCCGCUUAACGGAAGAACAGCAUCUGAUACUGCAAGGCUAGAGUGCGGAAGGG